rnacentral:lncRNA from 1 species
CAUUUUAUUUAGAUGUAAAUUGAAUACCCAUGAUUUCUUAUCAUUGCAAAUCGUCAUAAGGCCAUAGACCUGCAAUAGCAGGCAUCCAUGGCACAAACAAACUAAGAAAUGUUUUACUUAGAAAUGCUAUUUUGUAUUGCUGAGUUUCCUUCAAAUGUUAACACUGAGGUUCAUAAAUCUUCAGUCCUUGGAAAGAGUAGUAAUAAAUAAGUAAAAUGUAUUCAUACUAACUGUAACUUUCUUUUCCUGGAUAGAUCCAUGACUUUAUCACUAAAGGGUAGCUCCUCCCCUCUCGACUGAUGGGACAGGAAAUAGAAACAAAGUUUAUAAAAGAGACUAACCCUCAAUCUACUAACAAGUCCAUGAGGGGGAGGAGGGAGACACUGACACUGCCUUAGAUCUAUGAACCGAAAAUUAUGGUUAGUAUAAAUAUAUAACUUCCAUAUUCCUGGAAAAUUCAUGGCCGCAUCCCUAAUGGGUAAUACCCAAGCGAAGACCCUUUCAUAAUGGGUGGGACCUAAAAUAUACACAAAACACGUGUUUACAAAUGCAAAAGUAAAGUUUUUAAUUCGAAGUAACAGAAUUGAGGACAUCACAACCAAACUGAGCAUCCUUAGCAGCCGUGGCAUCAAGAUAAUAAUACUUCAUAAGUGAAUUAACUGAAGUCCAAGUUGCUGCCUUGCAAAUGCUCUCAACAGCAAUCUUUGCUGCAGUCGCAAACAAAGUGUAGAGAGAGACCUAGUUGAAUUAGCCUUAAUUCCAUUCUGGAUUUCAAUAUUUUCAGUCUAAUAAGCUUUAAUAUUUGUGGUCUCUAUCCAUCUGUUCAAAUCGGUUUGCCAGGAACUAUUUAAAAUUAAGUAAACUGAAGGACAACUCACCACAUGCAAAGUGCGCCAAUGAGCUUGUUCGUCCAUUUUGUGAAUUAGGAAUAAACGUAAAUCCGAAACUAUCUUCUGCCUGAAUUCAGGAGUACCGUGAAGGAAGAUAUCCUGAUGAAAAAGUGUAAGGUCCAGGCUCGAAAGGGACUGAAAUUCCAAUACUAUUCUGGCUGAGGUUACAGCAACUAAUAAAAUGGCUUUUUUAAAGUCAGGAGGUAAUCCAAAAUUUCUUGGAUGGGUUCUAAUGGAGGAGAAGAUAGAGCCCUAAGGGAAGAUCCCAUUGUGGCAACCAUGUCCUUAAUGGAUGUCUGAUUUUCAUGAGUCAUAAAUAUUGCAACCAUAGGUUCUAAGAACCAUUGGACACCCUUAAGAACUGAUAACCGUGAAAUCUGUAAAUGAAGUGUUGUGAGACUUAAAGCCUUACCAAGGCCAUACUGGAGGAAUUUUAGAACAUCAACAAGGGUCUAGAAGUUGACAAUUUCUGGAUUGAGCCCAAUCAGGGAAACCAUCCGAAUUCUGUUAUAAGUAGCAGAAAUUGAUUUUUAUUUUUUUUUCCUAAUCUGAAGUAAGCUAGACACUACUGUCUCUGAACAUCCUAAAUCUUGCAAAGAUUGCCAUUCAACCUUCAUGCCAUCAGGGCCGAUACUUCUUGUUAGUUAUUAUCUUCCCCACCUCUUUUUAUGAAUAUAUUAGUGUUAUGAGUCCCGGUAUAAUUUCCUAUAUAUGGUUAAUUGUAUUAAAUUGAGUUUGUC